UAAUCGCGGAUCAGAAUGCCGCGGUGAAUACGUUCCCGGGUCUUGUACACACCGCCCGUCACACCAUGGGAGUCGGAAAUGCCCGAAGUCUGUGACCCAACCUUAGGGAGGGAGCAGCCGAAGGCAGGUCGGAUGACUGGGGUGAAGUCGUAACAAGGUACC
rnacentral:rRNA from 1 species